GGUCACACCCGUUCCCAUACCGAACACGGAAGUUAAGCUCUUCAGCGCCGAUGGUAGUUGGGGGUUUCCCCCUGUGAGAGUAGGACGCCGCCAAGC
rnacentral:rRNA from 1 species